UACGUAGGGGGCAAGCGUUGUCCGGAUUUACUGGGCGUAAAGAGCGUGUAGGCGGUCCGGUAAGUCCGCUGUGAAAGUCGGGGGCUCAACCCUCGAAUGCCGGUGGAUACUGUCGGGCUAGAGUGCGGAAGAGGCGAGUGGAAUUCCUGGUGUAGCGGUGAAAUGCGCAGAUAUCGGGAGGAACACCGGUGGCGAAGGCGGUUCUCUGGGCCUUACCUGACGCUGAGGAGCGAAAGCGUGGGGAGCGAACAGG
rnacentral:rRNA from 1 species